ACUAGCAGGUACUGGCUCCUAAUGGCAGCAGUCACCUGGGCUGUCCGGCACUGAGGGGAGGCUGGAGCUGUCCACUGAGGACAGUGCUGAAAGCCAUCUUCUGUACAACUUGAGUGCUGGGAUAGAACAGCAGAAUGAUAAGGGACGAGAUGCACUCUGAGAAACAGCAGAGUCAAGCAAGAUGCACUGGAGUUUGGGGCUCACAGUAGUAAGUUGGAGCCCCAGCUUCAUCUUUCUGUCUUGGCUGCAUGGAAUCAUCUUGGUUGCUCUGUCAUACACACACAUCACAUUCCCACUGAGCUGCUGUUUGGAUACAGCACACUGAGACAGACAGCCUUUUGCAGAACCCGACUCUUCUGCUCUCAGAGCUCCAGGGCUCUGGGCUCCAGAAUGAACCAGCUCCUCUAUGAUGCAGCAGAAGGCCUGGCAUGAAGCACCAGCCUCUGAUCCCUGAAGAGUCCCUGCUUCCUGGGAAUCUGGACUUACUCCAGGGUCCCUCUCUUCAGGCCAGCUCUGCCCAGGGUCUGGUUUAGAGACAUAAGCAGGACCUACUCCCACAUCAGCUGAUCUGGAGGAGAAUGCUGUGUGAUUGGUCAGUACAGGUUCCCUGUGCAUAUCCCAGGGCUCUGUGUGAGGAGAUAACACAACGAAGCCGUCAGUCCUGGCAUGGCCACCCAGAGAGGAGCUCCUUGGUGGAGAAGAAGUCAGGACCACAAAGAGGAAGAACUUCCAUUGCUUCAUAUUGGGCUCAGCAUCUGCACCCUGGCGAGCUGAAACUUAAAAACUGGAAGAUGCUCCAGCACAGGAUUUGUAAGGACAACACAUAUCUGCCCUUUGGGAUUUUGAAUCCUGGGAGAAGAGACAGAUGUGAAAAAAAUCACCAAACUAUGUGCACAGUCUUGUUUUAAAAUCCUCUGUGAGCAAAACUGAGCAAGGAAGAGAGAACUCUGUUGCCUUCUGGGAGCUAUUCACCCUCCAGAUGAAUGUGGACCCCUGGAAUGCUCUUGCCCAGAACUCUUUACUAAAAGUGACUACAAUGAGCAGCAAACAGGCACCUGUGUGGUUGACAUUUUCCUGUGACUGGAAACUCAGGAAGGACCUGGAUGCCCUGUGACCUUCCUUACUACUAAAUUUACCAUUUUAAAAAUCAUGACUAUAGGGCUGGGAGGGUUACUUAGUGAGUAAGAACAGUUGCUGUGUUAGCCAAAGGACCUGAGUUAGAAUCCUUAUUACCCUUGGCUGCAUGUACCUGUCACUUCAGCAUUGGCAGCAGGGAGAGAUGGGUCUGGGAAGCUCUCUGGACAACCUGCCUAACUGAAAUCAUGGGUUUCAGUGUUAAAUGAGAGACCCUGUCUGAAGGGGAUAAGGCAAGGAGUGAAAGAGGAAGAUAUCUGAUGUCUUCUUGUAUACCCAAGCGCAAACGUGUGUGUGUGUGUGUGUGUGUGUGUGUGUUUGUGUGUGUGAUGACAAGACACACAGUGGAAAGAGAUCACAUACAAUUAUGAUCAACAAGGUCCUAGAAUUUUCUCUGAGGUGUUAAAAACAAAAUUUAAGGAAUGGUUAAAAGAACAGGAAGAUGAAAGGAAAUGUAGAUUGAUAAAAUACAUGUAAUGGAUAUAAAAAGAAUCCAGAGAAUAAUUUAAUCAUCAACAAAAUGUUAACAAUAAAUACAAAACAGAAAAUCCAAUAUAUCAGGAAGUAAUAUACCAUAGGAAUAUAUGCACUUGUUCAAGUGUGAUUUCUUCAAAUGUGAAAGUGUAGAAGAAAGGCAAAAAGCUAGAAAAACACACAAGUCUGUCAACAAUAGCAGAAAGUUGCUAUAGGCAAACCAGUGUUAAAUGAGGAAAGUGGGGUUUAGGUCAAGAAAAUGCAUUGGAAAUGCAAGGAUAUAGGUUUAAUAAUGGCAAAAGUGUCACACAGGAGGAGGACACCCCAGCAUCAUAGUGACCAGGCAGGGAUGCUACUUCAAAAUGAGCAGAGCAGUACUUAGAGAUGGACCAUGGUGGGAAAUACAGCAGAAUCCUUUCAGCAUCAGCAAUGACCAGCAGUAACUCGGGCCAGACUGUAGAGGACUCAAACCAGAGGAAGCAGUAUGGGCCAACAGUAUAUAUAGAUACUGUCUCUGAUGGUAGCACACUCAUUGUUCCUGACAACAUUGGGGUCAUUUGCCAAACCUCCUUUCAUCUGGAAUGAAAACCAAUUAUGGACUCUCUAAUUCAUAAUGGGGGUUUUGAGUAGACUUUGUAUCAGUCAAAUCAAAGGGGCACUCAGAAAUAAGAACAUCACUAUAGGAUUCCCAACACCUGGAAUUUAAAGUUAAUUUAAAAUAACAAACUUUGAGAAAUGAAACAUACUGACCUGAACAAAAAUAAAAUGCAUUGAUGUUUGCAAGGGUUAUGUCUGUGUUUGGAAAGGAAUCUGUGUCCUAUAUAUGUACUUCUGUGUCUAGUUACAACAUAGCCACAGAAUUUGAAAUAGUUAAAUACAUAAACCUAAGCAGAAAGUGGUUGGUUCCUCCCGUAACAAUUGUACCACUAUUGCAUCAGUGGGCACAUCUUGCCAGGACAGUCAUUACUGUAGUUUGCAGGGUUCACAGCUGGGUAAACUGAUGAUUACUUUUCUCUCACUGGUGGCACACAAAGCACCCUCUAGUGCUUUGAAAGCUAGCCAGGAGUGAUGAUACUUCUAGGUCAGUACCUGUUUGGUUUCUCCAUGUCCUAUGACUCAAGCAUAUGGCAUGUUCAGCAAUCAGCUCUUCCUGUCAGGUUCUGAAGGGUAAUCAAGAACAAUGCCAAUAGUUUGCAAUGUCUAGGCCCCACAGCCAAGAGUGUUUGGGCAACACACAUUGGAUUCAAUUUGUUUAAAAGAGAGAGAGAGAACAUGAAGGUGGGUUCUUAGGGAAGUGUGGAGUGGAUCUGGGGAGCAGUUGGAGGAGAGGGAAUGAAUAUAGCCAAAAUAUGUAGUAUGAAGUUCUUGAAGAAUUGAUACAAACAAAUCUUUAAAUAAAAUGUAAUACACUCAGAAUGUGCUCAAAUAUGAGUAAUUGUGGACCCAGAUCUUCAGCUGCUAGCAGAGUAGGUGAGGCCUUUGUAAGGAACAAGUUAAGAGAUUUUGUAAAGGAUUGGCCUCGAAACAUUUAAGCUUCUGAAGACUGAGAAAAAAAUAUAAUUAAAAUUCACUCAUAGUGUAGACACAUCUUUGAAUUAAUAAUUGUUUCACUCUACUUCACAGAUGGAGAUGGGAAGUGAUGUGAUUUGGAGGUGUGUACAUGGUCACACAAAAGGAUCAUAACUCAAAAGCCCUGACACAGGCUUCAGAUGUUAGGAUCAAUCUCACAGUAAGAUUCAUGAUACCCAAGGCCUGACAGCCCCCUGUGGCCACAGGAGCAAACAUAGUUUCUUCUGAGUUCCCCAUCCACUUGUCUGUUGUGGUGAGGAGCCAGAGGUCUCAUGGGUUAGGUUCUAUGUCCAGGAUUGACGGCCCAGCACAAAUGGCAUCUCUCAGAAAUGCCGACUGCUGAGUAGCACAAGCAAUUUCCAGGGUGCAAAAUUCCAAGAUUUGUUACUACAGACAGAGAUUAGAAAACAAAAUAUCGUGAAAUUAAGUUUAAGCCUCAGAAGGCUUCAGCACUAGCAGAACCAUUCUGGAAAUCUCAUUCAUUCUCAUCAAACUCCAUUUUCAACAGGAUCUAGACAAGGGCUAAUGGCAAGUAAAAACUCGAGUUAUCUCUGACUUGAACUAAAUAGAAUCUCCCAGACAGUGAGCCCCUGGGAGGUAUUUGUGAAAUAUUUGAGAGUCUUCAUGCUGGGUCUGAUAGCUCCAUGAAGUAGAUAAUGCAGUGAGUGCUGCUUUAUUUUGUGUGGAUCAAACAGAGAUUGGCUCCCAUGGGUUUAAGUAUGUGGUACAGGUGCCCAACUCUGGCCUGGCCUAACCCCGGAGGCCUGUACAUUUAUCAAAGGUGGAUGGCACAUGAGCCAAGGUAUAUGGAAUCUAUAGGAUGAAGGGAAACCCAGAGUGCCUUUUGUAAUCCACUUCCCAAUACUCACAGCCUUCAGCAUUUCCCCUCUUUGUAUAUGUAAUGCUCCCAACACACAGAGGGUGGCAAGGUGAAGGAUAGCUGUUUCUUGAUGUGAUAUUCUGUUAUAUAGGUCUCCAUCUUGACAGCAGACCACAGAUCUUCCCUUUACUUGGCCAACUGUAGCACUUGUGGUGAACCCUGUUUAUGUAGGCAAUGAGGACAGAUGGCUUCUGGGACUGCAGGUGGCUCCCAAAUUACAGUUAGAAGCUACAUGCUUGACCAGGUCACAGGACACACAUUCUGCCAAUGUCCGGAGGGGAUCGCAAGCAGAGCCUCCAUCAUCCAGGCAUCUAGAUGAGAGCUUGGCUGGGUCUGACAUAUUGAUUGCAGCAUUUUGAAAUCUUGAGCUGAGCGUUGAGCUUGGUAAUAGCUGGGCUCCUCCUGGUCAGGAGAAUCUGGAACUAGCAAACUCAAGUCACUUAAGCUGCUAAGCAUGUAUUAAGUUGUGUGCAAUAACAGAUAACUAAUGCCAAGAUAGGGGCAUCAAAGUAUGGGGGUAUGGGGCAUGCAGGACUGCCUGUCUCACUGAGUACAUGGGGGGAGGGGCAGCAGAGGAUUGGAACCCAGAAUGGACAGGGUCAGAUAUGAAAAGAUCCUUGGCUCAGGCCAAGCAGAUAGCUUGCAUGGUAGAGAGCUUGCCCAAUAUGCUUGAGGUCUUGGCUUUCCUCCCCAGCACUACAUGCAUCAGGCAUGGUGACCUAAACCUGUCUAAGCAUUGAGUACAUAGAGACGGGAGAAUCAGAAGUUCCUGGUCAUUCUUGCCUACCAACACUUGUGUGUCCUACUCAGAAAGAUACUUCAAGCCAGGCCAGACCAUUUGGGUGGUGGUCACCCAGGAUGUGGCGGGAGAAGCAAGAAGCAGGUUACUUGGGGAGAGUACUGUUUCUGGUUCACUUGUGGCCCCAGAUGCCACUUGCAUUUAUUGCCUACACAAACGGGCCUCCAUAUAGCAAAGCCAAGAAAAGAGAGUAUCUGUGGUCUGCUGUCAAGAUGGAGACCUAGGUAAUGGGAUGUCACAGCAGCCGUGAGUCGGUGUUUGGUGAUGCACUGGGCUUGGGGUAUAGGAAGAAGAAGGCAAUGAGUGGUGACCCUGGAUUCCUGACUGAUGUCCUGAAGGGAUGUGUAGGUGUGCCUGUCACUGCCAUGGUAAAUGGCUGUGGAGAGAGGGACUGAGUGUUCUCUAUUGGUCUCAGCAGCUAAGCAGAUCUACAGUCUUUUGAGUCUGGAGUCUGGUGUGUGGUGUGAGAAGGAGCUCCAGUGUGGGUUGGCAGAGCAGAGCUUCUGCUCAAGGCCAAUGAGGCCACUUAAAGAGGGAGCCUCCAUAUAAGGGUGAACAAUGACCCUGAGCUCUCUGGAUGUCCUGGAAGAAGGUGGAUUCUCAUCAGCCACAAGCCAGAGUUUGAAGUGGAGACAUCCCCUGUGUACUACACAUGAAAUACUUGGUCCUUGUCCUGUGUAGGAAGCAGGGUGACCUCCAUGGACUACAACAAUCCUUGCAAACCUCUGGCUUCAGGUAUACACACCAUGAGCCCCUCUCCACCUUGAGUCUGUUCCAGAGAUUAGGAAGUUUAUGAGGAUCCAGGGGCUCCCAGAGUGCUAGAGGUGAGGGAUGCCUCUCUGAGGCAGGGGAAGGAAAGUAAAAAAGAUGGUCCUCUCACCAAGGGCUUUGCAUACACUCAAAUGCAAGGAGACAUGUACUUUUAAAUCCAGAUCCUCAAAUCCAUCACAGACUGUCAAAGUGCCUCUGUGUUCAAAGUCUGUUCCCAUCAGAUGUUGCUGAAAAUAGCCCCGUGCUGACCAGUUGCAGCUCUUAUAUAAGAUUUAGUGCUGUCCUCAGCCCACACCUGUCAGGGAUGUGAUGUGACAGGCUGCGUUGGAGCAGUUCAGGGUGAUGGAUUUCCAGCGAAAUGAGAGGUGACUCUGUGAGCACACGGAGACACACCCUGGCAGGCAAGCUUGGUUCUGCCUGAAUGUUGGUGGCACAGAUGAGGCUCCCACAGGUCCCCCUGGGCAGCUGCUGGGGUCUGUAUGUGGUGUCAUAGCUUUGGCUGCCCUUAUAAUGGGCCAGCAGCAAGAACUAUAGGUCCAAAGACCUCCCACCUGAAUCAGACCAAGUUCUAGGCACACCCAUAGGCACCACAGCCAUUUAUUUUUGUCCUGGACCAUGUCACAGCCACAGGAUGAUAUGGUUUUCCCACACCAUGAGACAUGGCCAGGGCCAGAGCAUCUGGAGAUGCUCAUGUUCCUCACCAACCAGCGAACUUUUCUCUAACCCAAAGACCCCAGAAGCCAGAACUGGGUACCUGCCAACCUUUUGGACAUUCCUGGUCCCUUUCAAGGGCCCCAUCUCUGCUCAUCCUCGCCUGGGAGUUCUCCCAGCCUAGUUAUAGCCCUGGUACCAGUGAAGACAGGUGGCCAGGGUCAUUUCCAGGCCACAGGGAAGAAUCUAAGGCCAACAACCCAGCCAUCCCCAAGUGCUCAGUGCCCUCACUCAGUACCUGUCCCCACUGUCUAUCAUAUCCCUAUAGCUGCAGACAUAUAUCUCAGGCAAUUCAGACAUAGCCAUC